rnacentral:rRNA from 1 species
UUGUCUUAAUUGCCAUCAUUAGUUGGCACUUUAAAGAGACUGCCGGUGUUAGGCCGGAGGAAGGUGGGGAUGACGUCAAGUCCUCAUGGCCUUUAUGCCCAGGGCUACACACGUGCUACAAUGGGCGGUACAAAGAGAAGCAACCUCGCGAGGGUGAGCAAAUCUCAAAAAGCCGUUCUCAGUUCGGAUCGAAGUCUGCAACUCGACUUCAUGAAGUCGGAAUCGCUAGUAAUCGCGGAUCAGCAUGCCGCGGUGAAUACGUUCCCGGGCCUU